AUUCAUUUGUAGUUCAUGAGCAUGAUGGUAGGGUGUUCACGCUGUUGUGUGACAUGUGCCUCCCUCAAACCUGGCUACAACCUCGGCACAUUACCUGUCUGAUA